AUGUAUAGCAAUAGCUGAUUGCAUCAUUAAAUAUUUGAUGCAAUAUCGACUAUGUCGAAUAAAAUUCUAGGUAGAAUUAUGAUAAUGACAUUGUCUGCCUAUGUGUCUUGACCAAAUUACGUGCCAGCUGUCGCGGUAAUACGUAGAAGACUAGUGUUAUUCAUCUUUAAUAGGUUUAAAGGGUACCUAGACGGUAAAUCAAGCCAUCAUAGGGACUAAUUUACUAGAGUUACUUGUGAGGGGGUAUUAAAGUACUGCUGGUGUAGAGAUGAAAUUCUGUCAUACCUCUUUUCGAAAGAAAAACGAUGGCACAGGUAUAGGCGAAAGCAUCCCCUUAUGUGAUAACUGACGUUGAAGGACGAAGGCUUUGUGUCGCGAACAGGAUUAGAUACCCCAGUAGUCAAAGCAGAAAAUGAUGAAUGUCAUAGAUUAGACUUAAAUUGGUUUAUUCUAUAAAUGAAAGUGUAAGCAUUCCACCUCAAGAGUAAUUUGGCAACAUUGGAACUGAAAUCAUUAGACCGUUUCUGAAACCAGUAGUGAAGUAUGUUGUUUAAUUUGAUACUCCGCAAAAAACCUUACCACAAUUUGAAUAUUUAUAUCGUUUUCCCCUCGUAUUUCCGUUAUCUUUUGAUCUUUUUUAUCAUGAUUUUCUAUUCAUGUAACAAUAAAAAAUAAGGAGGAAAAGGAAAAAAAAGGAGAGAGAUAUAUUUACAAGCGCUGCACGGCUGUCUUCAGUUAAUGUCGUGAGAUUUUGGUUAGUUCCAUUAAAUUAACGUAAACCCUUACUUUAUUUUUAUAUAAAGUAGUUCCCCGCUAUAUUGGAUAUGAUAACAGGGACUAAGACAAGUCAUCAUGGCCUGAAUAUUGUGGGCUAUAGACGUGCCACAUAAACCUUACAAAAGGAUGUGAAAUUGUGAAAUUGAGCUAAUCCCCCAAAAUUGGAUAUAACACAAUGGAUG
rnacentral:rRNA from 1 species